rnacentral:rRNA from 1 species
CCUACGGGUGGCAGCAGUGGGGGAUAUUGCACAAUGGGGGAAACCCUGAUGCAGCGACGCCGCGUGGGGGAAGAAGGGCCUCGGCGUGGAAAGCCCUGUCAGCAGGGAAGAAAAUGACGGUACCUGAAGAAGAAGCCCCGGCUAACGACGUGCCAGCAGCCGCGGGAAUACGUAGGGGGCAAGCGUUAUCCGGAUUUACUGGGUGUAAAGGGGGCGGAGACGGCGAUGCAAGCCAGGAGUGAAAGCCCGGGGCCCCACCCCGGGACUGCUCUUGAAACUGCGUGGCUAGAGUGCAGGAGGGGCAGGCGGAAUUCCUGGUGUAGCGGUGAAAUGCGUAGAUAUCAGGAGGAACACCGAUGGCGAAGGCAGCCUGCUGGACUGCAACUGACGUUGAGGCCCGAAAGCGUGGGGAGUAAACAGGAUUAGAUACCCUAGUAGUC